rnacentral:rRNA from 1 species
GAUGAACGCUGGCGGCGUGCCUAAUACAUGCAAGUCGAGCGAACAGAUGAGGAGCUUGCUCCUCUGACGUUAGCGGCGGACGGGCGAGUAACACGUGGAUAACCUACCUAUAAGACUGGGAUAACUUCGGGAAACCGGAGCUAAUACCGGAUAAUAUAUUGAACCGCAUGGUUCAAUAGUGAAAGACGGUUUUGCUGUCACUUAUAGCUGGAUCCGCGCCGCAUUAGCUAGUUGGUAAGGUAACGGCUUACCAAGGAAACGAUGCGUAGCCGACCUGAGAGGGUGAUCGGCCACACUGGAACUGAGACACGGUCCAGACUCCUACGGGAGGCAGCAGUAGGGAAUCUUGCGCAAUGGGCGAAAGCUUGACGGAGCAAGGCCGCGUGAGUGAUGAAGGUCUUCGGAUCGUAAAGCCCUGUUAUUAGGGAAGAACAAAUGUGGAAGUAAAUAUGGACGUCUUGACGGUACCUAAUCAGAAAGCCACGGCUAACUACGUG